rnacentral:rRNA from 1 species
CCAGACUCCUACGGGAGGCAGCAGUGGGGGAUAUUGCACAAUGGGGGAAACCCUGAUGCAGCAACGCCGCGUGGGUGAAGGAGCGUUUCGGCGCGUAAAGCCCUGUCAGCGGGGAAGAAGAAAGACGGUACCCGACCAAGAAGCCCCGGCUAACUACGUGCCAGCAGCCGCGGUAAUACGCAGGGGGCGAGCGUUAUCCGGAAUUACUGGGUGUAAAGGGUGAGUAGGCGGCAUGGUAAGCCAGAUGUGAAAGCCUUGGGCUUAACCCGAGGACUGCAUUUGGAACUAUCAAGCUAGAGUACAGGAGAGGAAAGCGGAAUUCCUAGUGUAGCGGUGAAAUGCGUAGAUAUUAGGAAGAACACCAGUGGCGAAGGCGGCUUUCUGGACUGAAACUGACGCUGAGGCACGAAAGCGUGGGGAGCGAACAGGAUUAGAUACCCGCGUA